rnacentral:rRNA from 1 species
CUUCCGUAGGGUAACCUGCGGAAGGAUCAUUACUGAGUGAGGGCCCUCUGGGUCCAACCUCCCACCCGUGUUUAUUGUACCUUGUUGCUUCGGUGCGCCCGCCUCACGGCCGCCGGGGGGCUUCUGCCCCCGGGUCCGCGCGCACCGGAGACACCAUUGAACUCUGUCUGAAGAUUGCAGUCUGAGCAUAAACUAAAUAAGUUAAAACUUUCAACAACGGAUCUCUUGGUUCCGGCAUCGAUGAAGAACGCAGCGAAAUGCGAUAACUAAUGUGAAUUGCAGAAUUCAGUGAAUCAUCGAGUCUUUGAACGCACAUUGCGCCCCCUGGUAUUCCGGGGGGCAUGCCUGUCCGAGCGUCAUUGCUGCCCUCAAGCACGGCUUGUGUGUUGGGCUCCGUCCCCCCGGGGACGGGUCCGAAAGGCAGCGGCGGCACCGAGUCCGGUCCUCGAGCGUAUGGGGCUUUGUCACCCGCUCUGUAGGCCCGGCCGGCGCCAGCCGACAACCAAUCUUCCUUUUUUCGGGUUGACCUCGGAUCAGGUAGGGAUACCCGCUGAACUU